CCCCUAGAUGUUCUGGGCCGCACGCGCGCUACACUGAACAGUUCAACAAGUCUUAACCUUGGCCGAUAGGUCUGGGUAAUCUUUGAACGCUGUUCGUGAUUGGGAUAGACCUUUGCAAUUAUGGAUCUUCAACGAGGAAUUCCUAGUAAACGCAAGUCAUCAGCUUGCAUUGAUUACGUCCCUGCCCUUUGUACACACCGCCCGUCGCACCUACCGAUUGAAUGGUCCGGUGAAAUCUCGGGACGGCGGCUUGGUCGCUUGCGUCCGACUGCUGAAACUUGAUUAAACCAUAUCAUUUAGAGGAAGGUGAAGUCGUANCA
rnacentral:rRNA from 1 species